rnacentral:rRNA from 1 species
UUAAGCGACUAAGCGUACACGGUGGAUGCCCUGGCAGUCAGAGGCGAUGAAGGACGUGCUAAUCUGCGAUAAGCGUCGGUGAGGUGAUAUGAACCGUUAUAACCGGCGAUUUCCGAAUGGGGAAACCCAGUGUGUUUCGACACACUAUCAUUAACUGAAUCCAUAAGUUAAUGAGGCGAACCGGGGGAACUGAAACAUCUAAGUACCCCGAGGAAAAGAAAUCAACCGAGAUUCCCCCAGUAGCGGCGAGCGAACGGGGAGGAGCCCAGAGCCUGAAUCAGUGUGUGUGUUAGUGGAAGCGUCUGGAAAGGCGCGCGAUACAGGGUGACAGCCCCGUACACAAAAAUGCACAUGCUGUGAGCUCGAUGAGUAGGGCGGGACACGUGGUAUCCUGUCUGAAUAUGGGGGGACCAUCCUCCAAGGCUAAAUACUCCUGACUGACCGAUAGUGAACCAGUACCGUGAGGGAAAGGCGAAAAGAACCCCGGCGAGGGGAGUGAAAAAGAACCUGAAACCGUGUACGUACAAGCAGUGGGAGCCUCUUAAUGGGGUGACUGCGUACCUUUUGUAUAAUGGGUCAGCGACUUAUAUUCUGUAGCAAGGUUAACCGAAUAGGGGAGCCGAAGGGAAACCGAGUCUUAACUGGGCGUUAAGUUGCAGGGUAUAGACCCGAAACCCGGUGAUCUAGCCAUGGGCAGGUUGAAGGUUGGGUAACACUAACUGGAGGACCGAACCGACUAAUGUUGAAAAAUUAGCGGAUGACUUGUGGCUGGGGGUGAAAGGCCAAUCAAACCGGGAGAUAGCUGGUUCUCCCCGAAAGCUAUUUAGGUAGCGCCUCGUGAAUUCAUCUCCGGGGGUAGAGCACUGUUUCGGCAAGGGGGUCAUCCCGACUUACCAACCCGAUGCAAACUGCGAAUACCGGAGAAUGUUAUCACGGGAGACACACGGCGGGUGCUAACGUCCGUCGUGAAGAGGGAAACAACCCAGACCGCCAGCUAAGGUCCCAAAGUCAUGGUUAAGUGGGAAACGAUGUGGGAAGGCCCAGACAGCCAGGAUGUUGGCUUAGAAGCAGCCAUCAUUUAAAGAAAGCGUAAUAGCUCACUGGUCGAGUCGGCCUGCGCGGAAGAUGUAACGGGGCUAAACCAUGCACCGAAGCUGCGGCAGCGACACUAUGUGUUGUUGGGUAGGGGAGCGUUCUGUAAGCCUGUGAAGGUGGCCUGUGAGGGUUGCUGGAGGUAUCAGAAGUGCGAAUGCUGACAUAAGUAACGAUAAAGCGGGUGAAAAGCCCGCUCGCCGGAAGACCAAGGGUUCCUGUCCAACGUUAAUCGGGGCAGGGUGAGUCGACCCCUAAGGCGAGGCCGAAAGGCGUAGUCGAUGGGAAACAGGUUAAUAUUCCUGUACUUGGUGUUACUGCGAAGGGGGGACGGAGAAGGCUAUGUUGGCCGAGCGACGGUUGUCCCGGUUUAAGCGUGUAGGCUGGUUUUCCAGGCAAAUCCGGAAAACCAAGGCUGAGGCGUGAUGACGAGGCACUACGGUGCUGAAGCGACAAAUGCCCUGCUUCCAGGAAAAGCCUCUAAGCAUCAGGUAACAUCAAAUCGUACCCCAAACCGACACAGGUGGUCAGGUAGAGAAUACCAAGGCGCUUGAGAGAACUCGGGUGAAGGAACUAGGCAAAAUGGUGCCGUAACUUCGGGAGAAGGCACGCUGAUAUGUAGGUGAAGCGACUUGCUCGUGGAGCUGAAAUCAGUCGAAGAUACCAGCUGGCUGCAACUGUUUAUUAAAAACACAGCACUGUGCAAACACGAAAGUGGACGUAUACGGUGUGACGCCUGCCCGGUGCCGGAAGGUUAAUUGAUGGGGUUAGCGGUAACGCGAAGCUCUUGAUCGAAGCCCCGGUAAACGGCGGCCGUAACUAUAACGGUCCUAAGGUAGCGAAAUUCCUUGUCGGGUAAGUUCCGACCUGCACGAAUGGCGUAAUGAUGGCCAGGCUGUCUCCACCCGAGACUCAGUGAAAUUGAACUCGCUGUGAAGAUGCAGUGUACCCGCGGCAAGACGGAAAGACCCCGUGAACCUUUACUAUAGCUUGACACUGAACAUUGAGCCUUGAUGUGUAGGAUAGGUGGGAGGCUUUGAAGUGUGGACGCCAGUCUGCAUGGAGCCGACCUUGAAAUACCACCCUUUAAUGUUUGAUGUUCUAACGUGGGCCCCUUACCGGGGUUGCGGACAGUGUCUGGUGGGUAGUUUGACUGGGGCGGUCUCCUCCUAAAGAGUAACGGAGGAGCACGAAGGUUGGCUAAUCCUGGUCGGACAUCAGGAGGUUAGUGCAAUGGCAUAAGCCAGCUUGACUGCGAGCGUGACGGCGCGAGCAGGUGCGAAAGCAGGUCAUAGUGAUCCGGUGGUUCUGAAUGGAAGGGCCAUCGCUCAACGGAUAAAAGGUACUCCGGGGAUAACAGGCUGAUACCGCCCAAGAGUUCAUAUCGACGGCGGUGUUUGGCACCUCGAUGUCGGCUCAUCACAUCCUGGGGCUGAAGUAGGUCCCAAGGGUAUGGCUGUUCGCCAUUUAAAGUGGUACGCGAGCUGGGUUUAGAACGUCGUGAGACAGUUCGGUCCCUAUCUGCCGUGGGCGCUGGAGAACUGAGGGGGGCUGCUCCUAGUACGAGAGGACCGGAGUGGACGCAUCACUGGUGUUCGGGUUGUCAUGCCAAUGGCACUGCCCGGUAGCUAAAUGCGGAAGAGAUAAGUGCUGAAAGCAUCUAAGCACGAAACUUGCCCCGAGAUGAGUUCUCCCUGACUCCUUGAGGGUCCUGAAGGAACGUUGAAGACGACGACGUUGAUAGGCCGGGUGUGUAAGCGCAGCGAUGCGUUGAGCUAACCGGUACUAAUGAACCGUGAGGCUUAACCUU